GACGAACGCUGGCGGCGUGCUUAACACAUGCAAGUCGAACGGAGUGGCGAACGGGUGAGUAACACGUGGGUGAUCUGCCUUGCACUCUGGGAUAAGCUUGGGAAACUGGGUCUAAUACCGGAUAGUGCAAGAUGAGCUCGCGGCCUAUCAGCUUGUUGGUGGGGUACUGGCCUACCAAGGCGUCGACGGGUAGCCGGCCUGAGAGGGUGUACGGCGACAUUGGGACUGAGGUACGGCCCAGACUCCAACGGGAGGCAGCAGUGGGGAAUAUUGCACAAUGGGCGGAAGCCUGAUGCAGCGACGCCGCGUGGGGGAUGACGGCCUUCGGGUUGUAAACUCCUUUCACCAUCGACGCGGUAGAUGGAGAAGAAGCACCGGCUAACUACGUGCCAGCAGCCGCGGUAAUUC
rnacentral:rRNA from 1 species